GGGGUUGUGGCUCAGUAGUAGAGCAUGUGCCUCGUAAGUAUGAGGUACUGGGUUCAAUCCUUAGCAUCACAU
rnacentral:tRNA from 1 species